rnacentral:rRNA from 1 species
GUAACAAGGUAACCUAGUUUGAUCAGGGAUCCUCAACAUGGAACGAGGGCCGGACGGGUGAGUAGCACCUGGGUAACCUGCCCUUAAGUGGGGGAUAACAUUUGGAAACAGAUGCUAAUACCGCAUAGAUCCAAGAACCGCAUGGUUCUUGGCUGAAAGAUGGCGUAAGCUAUCGCUUUUGGAUGGACCCGCGGCGUAUUAGCUAGUUGGUGAGGUAAUGGCUCACCAAGGCGAUGAUACGUAGCCGAACUGAGAGGUUGAUCGGCCACAUUGGGACUGAGACACGGCCCAAACUCCUACGGGAGGCAGCAGUAGGGAAUCUUCCACAAUGGACGCAAGUCUGAUGGAGCAACGCCGCGUGAGUGAAGAAGGCUUUCGGGUCGUAAAACUCUGUUGUUGGAGAAGAAUGGUCGGCAGAGUAACUGUUGUCGGCGUGACGGUAUCCAACCAGAAAGCCACGGCUAACUACGUGCCAGCAGCCGCGGUAAUACGUAGGUGGCAAGCGUUAUCCGGAUUUAUUGGGCGUAAAGCGAGCGCAGGCGGUUUUUUAAGUCUGAUGUGAAAGCCCUCGGCUUAACCGAGGAAGCGCAUCGGAAACUGGGAAACUUGAGUGCAGAAGAGGACAGUGGAACUCCAUGUGUAGCGGUGAAAUGCGUAGAUAUAUGGAAGAACACCAGUGGCGAAGGCGGCUGUCUGGUCUGUAACUGACGCUGAGGCUCGAAAGCAUGGGUAGCGAACAGGAUUAGAUACCCUGGUAGUCCAUGCCGUAAACGAUGAAUGCUAGGUGUUGGAGGGUUUCCGCCCUUCAGUGCCGCAGCUAACGCAUUAAGCAUUCCGCCUGGGGAGUACGACCGCAAGGUUGAAACUCAAAGGAAUUGACGGGGGCCCGCACAAGCGGUGGAGCAUGUGGUUUAAUUCGAAGCAACGCGAAGAACCUUACCAGGUCUUGACAUCUUUUGAUCACCUGAGAGAUCAGGUUUCCCCUUCGGGGGCAAAAUGACAGGUGGUGCAUGGUUGUCGUCAGCUCGUGUCGUGAGAUGUUGGGUUAAGUCCCGCAACGAGCGCAACCCUUAUGACUAGUUGCCAGCAUUUAGUUGGGCACUCUAGUAAGACUGCCGGUGACAAACCGGAGGAAGGUGGGGAUGACGUCAAAUCAUCAUGCCCCUUAUGACCUGGGCUACACACGUGCUACAAUGGAUGGUACAACGAGUUGCGAGACCGCGAGGUCAAGCUAAUCUCUUAAAGCCAUUCUCAGUUCGGACUGUAGGCUGCAACUCGCCUACACGAAGUCGGAAUCGCUAGUAAUCGCGGAUCAGCACGCCGCGGUGAAUACGUUCCCGGGCCUUGUACACUCCGCCCGUCACGCCAAGAAAGUUGGAACCAAGGUAAACAAGUCGUAACAAGGUA